rnacentral:tRNA from 1 species
UCCCCGAUAGCUCAGCGGUAGUAGCACUCGGCUGUUAACCGAGGUGUCGUAGGUUCAAAUCCUACUCGGGGAGCCA